UCAGUAAAUUGAGGGACGAUUUUCUAUCGAUAAGAUGAUGCCGUUUCAAAACUUACAAAACAGCGAGGAAAAUACGGUCACACUUGUCCCGUCGGACAAGGAAAAUCAAAGAAGCAAAUAUGGUGCACAAUUUGUUAUGAAAGUACUUUUGGUGGCUUUAUGUGUGCUUGUCGUUGUUCUUUUGGCUCUGGUUGCAAAUAAUUUCGCUUCCUUGAAAUCUUUAAACGAAAGAGUGAAGACCUUGGAAAAUGGAAAGUCAAAACACGAAUGCAGAAGAGGAAGAAGCGAACAAAAGUAGGAGAAACUUAAGAGAGAGAGAGAGAGAG